AGGGCACCACCAGGAGUGGAGCCUGCGGCUUAAUUUGACUCAACACGGGAAAACUUACCCGGCCCGGACACUGGAAGGAUUGACAGAUUGAGAGCUCUUUCUUGAUUCAGUGGGUGGUGGUGCAUGGCCGUUCUUAGUUGGUGGAGCGAUUUGUCUGGUUAAUUCCGAUAACGAACGAGACUCUAGCCUACUAAAUAGACUGUUCAGCUUUAUAGCCGGAAUCACCGGGCAUGUAGCUCUCACGGGUUGCGUGUUCGGCUCUGGUGACGUUGGCAGUGCUUCUUAGAGGGACAGGCGGCGGUUCAGCCGCACGAAACAGAGCAAUAACAGGUCUGUGAUGCCCUUAGAUGUCCGGGGCUGCACGCGCGCUACACUGAAGUGAUCAGCGUGCAAUUUACGUUUGGUGAUCUGUCAAGAUUGCCCAACCCGUUGAACCUUCUUCGUGAUUGGGAUAGGGGAUUGUAAUUAUUCCCCUUGAACGAGGAAUUCCCAGUAAGCGCAAGUCAUAAGCUUGCGUUG
rnacentral:rRNA from 1 species